UCCUACGGGGGGCAGCAGUGAGGAAUAUUGGUCAAUGGGCGAGAGCCUGAACCAGCCAAGUCGCGUGAAGGAUGACGACCCUACGGGUUGUAAACUUCUUUUGUCAGGGAGCAAUUGAGUCCACGUGUGGGCUUAGCGAGAGUACCUGAAGAAAAAGGAUCGGCUAACUCCGUGCCAGCAGCCGCGGUAAUACGGAGGAUGCGAGCGUUAUCCGGAUUUAUUGGGUUUAAAGGGUGCGUAGGCGGAAUAUCAAGUCAGCGGUCAAAAUUCGGGGCUCAACCCCGUCGUGCCGUUGAAACUGAUGU
rnacentral:rRNA from 1 species